CAGGAGAAACGAUGGCGGCGUACUUAACUCAUGCAAGUCGAGCGAUGAACCACCGUCGAGUGGGGAUGAGUGGUGAACGUAUGAGUAACACGUGUGCAAUAUGCCGUGCACUAUGGGACAAGCCAUGGAAACGGGCUCUAAUACCGGAUGAUAAUCGUCGUGGGCAUUCGCGAGGUUAGAAAGCUCCGUCGCAGCAGGAAGAGCGCGCGGCCUAUCAUCUUCUAGGCGAGGUAAUGUCUCACCAAGGAGACGACGAUUAGCCGCCCUGAGAGGGCGACCGGCCACACUGUGAUUGAGGCGCGACCCAGACUCAUUCGUGAGGCAGCAGUGGGGAUUAGUGCGCAAUGGGCGAAAGCAUGAAGCAGGGACUCCGCGUGAGGGAUGUCGGCCUUCGGGUAGUAACCAUCUUUCAGCAGGGAAGAAGCGAAAGUGACGGUACCUGCAGAAGAAGCCCCGGCUAACUACGUGCCAGCAGCCGCGGUAAUACGUAGGGCGCAAGCGUUGUCCGGAAUUAUUGGGCGUAAAGAGCUCGCAGGCGGCUUGUCAAGUCGGAUGUGAAAGCCCGGGGCUCAACCCCGGGUGGGCCGUCGAAACGGGCAGGCUAGAGUUCGGUAGGGGAGAUCGGAAUUCCAGGUGUAGCGGUGAAAUGCGCAGAUAUCAGGAGGAACACCGGUGGCGAAGGCGGAUCUCUGGUCCGAUACUGACGCUGAGGAGCGAAAG
rnacentral:rRNA from 1 species